GCGACCUACGGGAGGCAGCAGUGGGGAAUAUUGCACAAUGGGGGGAACCCUGAUGCAGCGACGCCGCGUGGGUGAAGGAGUAUUUCGGUAUGUAAAGCCCUAUCAGCAGGGAAGAACAAUGACGGUACCUGACUAAGAAGCCCCGGCUAACUACGUGCCAGCAGCCGCGGUAACACGUAGGGGGCAAGCGUUAUCCGGAUUUACUGGGUGUAAAGGGGGCGCAGACGGCGAUGCAAGCCAGGAGUGAA
rnacentral:rRNA from 1 species